CUACGGGCGGCUGCAGUGAGGAAUAUUGCGCAAUGGGGGAAACCCUGACGCAGCGACGCCGCGUGGAUGAUGAAGGCCUUCGGGUCAUAAAAUCCUGUCAGAUGGGAAGAAGUGCAUGGGGGAAUAAUACCUUCUGUGUUUGACGGUACCAUCAAAGGAAGCACCGGCUAACUCCGUGCCAGCAGCCGCGGUAAUACGGAGGGUGCAAACGUUGUUCGGAAUUACUGGGCGUAAAGCGCGCGUAGGCGGUUUGUUAAGUCAGAUGUGAAAGCCCAGGGCUUAACCCUGGACGUGCAUUUGAAACUGGCAGACUUGAGUGAUGGAGGGGAUGGUGGAAUUCCCGGUGUAGAGGUGGAAUUCGUAGAUAUCGGGAGGAAUACCGGUGGCGAAGGCGACUAUCUGGCCAGAUACUGACGCUGAGGUGCGAAAGCGUGGGGAGCAAACAGGAUUAGAUACCCCCGUAGUC
rnacentral:rRNA from 1 species